rnacentral:lncRNA from 1 species
AUCAUGCUUUAAAGAUGAUUCUGAAGUAUUAUUAUGAAUUAAUGUAAUGCUGCCAUAGACUGUGUUUCAACGAUCAGUGAAAAGAGAAAGAAAUAGUUCAUAGGCUGUAAAAGAGCAGGGAGACUGCUAAAAGAGAAGGCAUGUAAAUUAUAAGGAGAGGUGUUCAGUACUCUGAUCCAAAGUAUUGGGUCUGGAAGGCCCAAAGAGUAUGUUCUUAUGUGAUUCUGUAGGGAUACUCAUGUUUUGUACUUCCAGCACUCCAGGCAAUAGCUGCAAUCCAGCCUAUACUGCCUUUCAGAGGUAACAUUCAUUGGGUGAAUGCUAUUAAUCAAGCCUAACUCGCCCUUAGACUUCUGUGAGCCUGGCAUUUUCUUCCUGUUUGAAUCAGAAAUCUCUAAAAGCAUAGGCCUUUAAAAAAAGCUGUACUCUGAAUCCUUCCCCCGCUGAUGAUUUUUCUCAGGCCCUCGCGCUCGCACUGUGCUGCUGCUGCAAUCGCUGGGAGACAAUUGGAGGUUAUUUUUAGACUGCCUGCUCUGCAGCGCUGACAUUUGUAGGUUAGGCGUACCAGUUGCUGGCUGCUGCCUCUAUCUUCCCUAAAUAUUUCCCUUCCAACAGCUGGACGUCCCCCUCCUCCUUCCCCAGUCUUUCCUCUGUUCAUCCUGGUGCUGGAAACCCCACAAGGACGCCAAAGCAUCCUCUCUCUCCAACAGCAAAAUAAUAUCACAGGUCCAUUCAUCCCUUCGGUUGCCCAGAAACGAAUCCUCUGAAAAUUCAGACCCUAAAAGCAGCUAAAUGAAAAUCAUCAGCAGGAAUUAAGAAAGAGGGAAAUGUGUUAGCCAAUUAAUUAACUGAUUGAUGUUACUUUGGUGGUUUUCACCCCACAGUCAGUAUCAGGUCAGCAAAAUGUGCUUUCAAAAGAAAUGAUGCUAAUUAAAUGCAUGAUAGAGCAGCCCAUGUAAUAAUUAGCAAGGGAUAAAGUGCCCGUUCUGUCCAUUCAUUGGGAUUUUUUUGUCGGACCUGCAGCUGGUUUGUAUUUCUGUUUGUCUUUGUCUGCCUGAACCUUAGGCUACCUAAAAAGAUCUUCACUAAAUGUAACGUCCACAUCCCCCCGGUUUC